rnacentral:rRNA from 1 species
GCACAACGCGAAGAACCUUACCAAGGCUUGACAUACACCAGAACACCCUGGAAACAGGGGACUCUUUGGACACUGGUGAACAGGUGGUGCAUGGUUGUCGUCAGCUCGUGUCGUGAGAUGUUGGGUUAAGUCCCGCAACGAGCGCAACCCUCGUUCUAUGUUGCCAGCACGUAAUGGUGGGAACUCAUGGGAUACUGCCGGGGUCAACUCGGAGGAAGGUGGGGAUGACGUCAAAUCAUCAUGCCCCUUAUGUCUUGGGCUUCACGCAUGCUACAAUGGCCGGUACAAUGGGCUGCGAUACCGUAAGGUGGAGCGAAUCCCAAAAAGCCGGUCCCAGUUCGGAUUGAGGUCUGCAACUCGACCUCAUGAAGUCGGAGUCGCUAGUAAUCGCAGAUCAGCAACGCUGCGGUGAAUACGUUCCCGGGUC